rnacentral:rRNA from 1 species
AUUGAACGCUGGCGGCAUGCCUUACACAUGCAAGUCGAACGGCAGCACGGGAGCAAUCCUGGUGGCGAGUGGCGAACGGGUGAGUAAUAUAUCGGAACGUGCCCAGUUGUGGGGGAUAACGCAGCGAAAGCUGUGCUACUACCGCAUACGAUCUAAGGAUGAAAGCGGGGGAUCGCAAGACUUCGCGCGAUUGGAGCGGCCGAUAUCAGAUUAGCUAGUUGGUGGGGUAAAGGCCCACCAAGGCGACGAUAUGUAGCUGGUCUGAGAGGACGACCAGCCACACUGGAACUGAGACACGGUCCAGACUCCUACGGGAGGCAGCAGUGGGGAAUUUUGGACAAUGGGCGCAAGCCUGAUCCAGCAAUGCCGCGUGCAGGAUGAAGGCCUUCGGGUUGUAAACUGCUUUUGUACGGAACGAAACGGCCCUUUCUAAUACAGGGGGCUAAUGACGGUACCGUAAGAAUGAGCACCGGCUAACUACGUGCCAGCCGCCGCCGUAAAAC